rnacentral:rRNA from 1 species
UUGACCUCGGAUCAGGUAGGACUACCCGCUGAACUUAAGCAUAUCAAUAAGCGGAGGAAAAGAAACCAACAGGGAUUGCCCCAGUAACGGCGAGUGAAGCGGCAACAGCUCAGAUUUGGAAUCUGGCCCCCAGGGCCCGAGUUGUAAUCUGGAGAGGAUGCUUCUGGCGCGGCGCCUUCCGAGUUCCCUGGAACGGGACGCCGGAGAGGGUGAGAGCCCCGUACGGUUGGACGCCUAGCCUUUGUGAAGCUCCUUCGACGAGUCGAGUAGUUUGGGAAUGCUGCUCAAAAUGGGAGGUAAAUUUCUUCUAAAGCUAAAUACCGGCCAGAGACCGAUAGCGCACAAGUAGAGUGAUCGAAAGAUGAAAAGCACUUUGAAAAGAGGGUCAAACAGUACGUGAAAUUGUUGAAAGGGAAGCGCCCGUGGCCAGACUUGUGCCCCGCGGACCACCCGGCGCCCUCAGCGCCGGUGCACUCCGCGGGGCGCAGGCCAGCAUCGGUUUUCCUAGGGGGAUAAAGGCGGCGGGAACGUGGCUCCUUCGGGAGUGUUAUAGCCCGUCGUGCCAUGCCCCUGGGGGGACCGAGGACCGCGCUUCGGCAAGGAUG